GACGAACGCUGGCGGCGUGCUUAACACAUGCAAGUGGAGCGACGAACCGGGGCUUGCCCCGGGGCAGAGCCGCGAACGGGUGAGUAACACGUGGGUAACCCACCCCGAUGACCGGGACAACCCGAGGAAACUCGGGCUAAUACCGGAUGUGCUCCUUGAUCUCAAGAACAAGGCGCAAAGAUAGCUUCGGCCUUCGCAUCGGGACGGGCCCGCGGCCCAUAGCUUGUUGGUGGGGUAACGGCCUACCAAGGCGACGAUGGGUAGCUGGUCUGAGAGGACGAUCAGCCACACUGGGACUGAGACACGGCCCAGACUCCUACGGGAGGCAGCAGUGG
rnacentral:rRNA from 1 species